CUGGCAAAUGGCAAAGCAGAGAAAGAAAGAAAGAAAGAAAGAAAAUAGAACGGGAAAUAGACAAGUAGAU
rnacentral:ribozyme from 1 species